CGCUGGCGGCAGGCUUAACACAUGCAAGUCGAGCGGGGGAAGGUAGCUUGCUACUGGACCUAGCGGCGGACGGGUGAGUAAUGCUUAGGAAUCUGCCUAUUAGUGGGGGACAACAUUCCGAAAGGGAUGCUAAUACCGCAUACGUCCUACGGGAGAAAGCAGGGGAUCACUUGUGACCUUGCGCUAAUAGAUGAGCCUAAGUCGGAUUAGCUAGUUGGUGGGGUAAAGGCCUACCAAGGCGACGAUCUGUAGCGGGUCUGAGAGGAUGAUCCGCCACACUGGGACUGAGACACGGCCCAGACUCCUACGGGAGGCAGCAGUGGGGAAUAUUGGACAAUGGGGGGAACCCUGAUCCAGCCAUGCCGCGUGUGUGAAGAAGGCCUUAUGGUUGUAAAGCACUUUAAGCGAGGAGGAGGCUACUUUGGUUAAUACCCGGAGAUAGUGGACGUUACUCGCAGAAUAAGCACCGGCUAACUCUGUGCCAGCAGCCGCGGUAAUACAGAGGGUGCGAGCGUUAAUCGGAUUUACUGGGCGUAAAGCGUGCGUAGGUGGCUAAUUAAGUCAAAUGUGAAAUCCCCGAGCUUAACUUGGGAAUUGCAUUCGAUACUGGUUAGCUAGAGUAUGGGAGAGGAUGGUAGAAUUCCAGGUGUAGCGGUGAAAUGCGUAGAGAUCUGGAGGAAUACCGAUGGCGAAGGCAGCCAUCUGGCCUAAUACUGACACUGAGGUACGAAAGCAUGGGGAGCAAACAGGAUUAGAUACCCUGGUAGUCCAUGCCGUAAACGAUGUCUACUAGCCGUUGGGGUCUUUGAGACUUUAGUGGCGCAGCUAACGCGAUAAGUAGACCGCCUGGGGAGUACGGUCGCAAGACUAAAACUCAAAUGAAUUGACGGGGGCCCGCACAAGCGGUGGAGCAUGUGGUUUAAUUCGAUGCAACGCGAAGAACCUUACCUGGCCUUGACAUAGUAGAAACUUU
rnacentral:rRNA from 1 species